rnacentral:rRNA from 1 species
AGAGUUUGAUCCUGGCUCAGAACGAACGCUGGCGGCGUGCUUAACACAUGCAAGUCGAACGGAAUUAGGGGCUUGCUCCUAAUUUAGUGGCGCACGGGUGAGUAACGCGUAGAUAAUCUGCCUGAUGAUCUGGGAUAACACUUCGAAAGAGGUGCUAAUACCGGAUAAGCCCACGGGAUCUUUGGAUUCUGCGGGAAAAGGGGGGGACCUCCGGGCCUUCUGUCAUCAGAUGAGUCUGCGUACCAUUAGCUAGUUGGUAGGGUAAUGGCCUACCAAGGCUACGAUGGUUAGCUGGUCUGAGAGGAUGAUCAGCCACACUGGAGCUGAGACACGGUCCAGACUCCUACGGGAGGCAGCAGUGGGGAAUUUUGCGCAAUGGGCGAAAGCCUGACGCAGCAACGCCGCGUGAGUGAUGAAGGCUUUCGGGUCGUAAAGCUCUGUCGAGGGGAAAGAAAUGUAUUUGGGCUAAUACCCUUUAUACUUGACGGUACCCCUAAAGGAAGCACCGGCUAACUCCGUGCCAGCAGCCGCGGUAAUAC